ensembl:lncRNA
CCUGGACCCAUAGAGAGUCAUUCUGUUCCCCUUUAUAGUGUGUUAACCUGGACCCAUAGAGAGUCAUUCUGUUCCCCUUAUAGAGUGUUAACCUGGACCCAUAGAGAGUCAUUCUGUUCCCUUUAUAGAGUGUUAACCUGGACCCAUAGAGAGUCAUUCUGUUCCCCUUUAUAGAGUGUUAACCUGGACCCAUAGAGAGUCAUUCUGUUCCCCUUUAUAGUGUGUUAACCUGGACCCAUAGAGAGUCAUUCUGUUCCCCUUUAUAGUGUGUUAACCUGGACCCAUAGAGAGUCAUUCACAGGGUGAUUAAUAGGAGAAACACAAUGCUAGAUUAAGAUGUAUAUAGAUGAUUAGGUGUCUGGUCUAUUCAGGGCUCUGGUUAAAAGUAGUGCACUAUAUAGGGAAUAGGGCUGUAGUAUAAAGUAGUGCACUAUAUAGGGAAUAGGGCUGUAGUAUAAUGUUGUGCACUAUAUAGGGAAUAGGGCUCUGGUCUAAAGUAGUGCACUAUCUAGGGAAUAGGGCUCUGGUCUAAAGUAGUGCACUAUAUAUGGAAUAAGGCUCUGGUCUAAAGUAGUGCACUAUAUAGGGAAUAGGGCUCUGGUCUAAAGUAGUGCACUAUAUAUGGAAUAGGGCUCUGGUCUAAAGUAGUGCCCUAUAUAGGGAAUAGGGCUCUGGUCUAAAGUAGUGCACUACAUGGUGAAUAAGGGGCCAUAUUGGAUACAGCCUCUAUGUGAGUUUGGUUGGGCACAAGCCUGGGCCUGUGUGUGAAGUAGUGCACUAUAUAGUGAAUAAGGGGCCAUAUUGGACACAAGCCUGGGCCUGUGUGUAAAGUAGUGCACUAUAUAGUGAAUAAGGGGCCAUAUUGGACACAAGCCUGGCCCUGUGUGUAAAGUAGUGCACUAUAUAGUGAAUAAGGGGCCAUAUUGGACACAAGCCUGGCCCUGUGUGUAAAGUAGUGCACUAUAUAGUGAAUAAGGGGCCAUAUUGGACACAAGCCUGGGCCUGUGUGUAAAGUAGUGCACUAUAUAGUGAAUAAGGGGCCAUAUUGGACACAAGCCUGGGCCUGUGUGUAAAGUACUUCUGCAUUCUAAAGUGUUGGUAUUCCAGCAUCUUGUAUCUUUUAAUAAAGGUGAUUUAAUCAGC